GCAGACUCACUCUGUUUGGGGUCUUCUUCUCCGGCCCUGAACUUUUUUCGUCUGCUAUAUUGAUCUGCAGAGCGUUCUGCACGGGUCUGUCUUCUUCGAGACAGACUCUGGAGUGUUCUGCUACAUCUCU
ensembl:snoRNA